rnacentral:RNase_P_RNA from 1 species
CGAGCAGGCCGGGCGGCCGCGUCUCCCCCUCGUCGUUCGCGGCGGCGGGGAGCCGAGGAAAGUCCGGGCUCCGCAGGGCAGGGUGGUUCGCUAACGGCAACCCGGGGUGACCCGCGGGACAGUGCCACAGAGAACAGACCGCCACCCGGCCUCCGGGCCGGGCGGUAAGGGUGAAACGGUGGUGUAAGAGACCACCAGCACCCCGGGUGACCGGGGUGGCUCGGUAAACCCCACCCGGAGCAAGGCCAAAAGGUGCUCCCCAGGGAGCACUGCGCAGGUGUUCGAGGACGGCCCGUCCGAGCCUGCGGGUAGGCCGCUCGAGCCUGCCGGUGACGGCAGGCCUAGAUGGAUGGUCGCCGAACGGGUGUCGCGAGACACCCGGGAACAGAACCCGGCUUACAGGCCUGCUCGUCCC